CCUGUGGCAUUUCAGCAGCUUCUCUUCACUGAGAAAAGCACAGAAUCUGCUUUUCACCGGGUCCCCUCCUCUUCCGCCCCCUCCCUCCGCCAUCACUUCGCUCUUUCCACGACCGCUUCCAACGCGCCUCCCGGGGCCUUCUCACUGCCUAUUGCUUAUUCCAAGGUGGUACCAGCUCCCGAGCUGCUGUACCAAAUUGCUAGCAAGUUGGCGGCUUAAAACAGCAGAAGUCUAUCUUCUCACAGUUCUGGAGGCCAGGAGUCCAAACCGAGGUGUCAGCACAGCCGUGAUCCUCCAGAAGCUCCGGGGGAGAAGCGUGCCCGGGUUCUUGCAGCUUCGGUGCUAAGCCUUAGCUUUACCAAAACAAGAAGACCAGGUUCUUAUAUGCAAAGAGCCCACAGCCCAGUUGGAGAGAUGGACAAAUGAGGAAAUAAUCGCGAACAAAUGUGAGGGUGCUAAAUAUGCAGAGAAAUCGGAGAGAGGCCCUCCCCUGGGGUCACGUAUCAACUCAGAGCACAGGAAAAACUCAGGAGGCAAACUGGAGACAUCAAAUAUAAAUGACCUUUUGAGAAGUUUUGGUCCCAAAGGAGGAACUAGAAAAAGGAGCGCUGGUUGGUGCAGAAAGCGGGGUCAAAAGAAGAUUUUACGCUUUCUAACGAGAGAAACAACUGCAUGCUUGUGUGCUGUCGGAGAUCAUCCAGGAGCGGGAGAAAAUUUGGUGAAACAGGAACAGAAGGAAGGUGGCUGGCGAGCAAGCUCUAGGCACACGUGGAGGAAUGAGCUUUAGAUAAAAACACCAGUAGUUCGUAAAGGCUGAGUUCAUGGGGCAAACGCUGGUGAGCUGGAGAUAGAAAAGGGGAAUCCGGACUUUGUCUUCUGACAGCGUGGGCUUCCUCAGUUACAGAGAAAGAAGGUUCUCGACCGGGAGUGGUGAAGGCGGAGGUGUGAGAAGGCCGAGGCAGGGGCCAGGGAGGGUCCUCGCGGGCGCGGCGGAGGGGCCGCGGGCAGCUUGCGGCUCCUGGGGGUCCCCGGGCAGCCUGGCUUCGUGUUCGCCAUCAGCCUCGUUCACGUGCUCUGCUGUAGGUGUGAACCGCACGGAGCUGGAGUCGCUGCUCUUAUAAGGUGCCAAGCGGGAGAAAGCACGAGAGCUGGGUGCGAUUUCAUGGGCGUGACUGCAAUGACAGUGGAAUUGAAGCUGACUAAGGAGCAAAAAGGAAAUGAAGAAGAUGAAAGGGCGUGAAAAGUGGUCGGACCACAGGUUUAGCCACUUCGGUGGGUUUUGGAGUCAGAGAACUAAGGAGACGUGCAGAAGGAAAGGAGCUGGUGGUCAAAGAGUUGGGUAAAGGAAAGUGAGGUCACAGGAGGACUGGUUUAUGAGUGGUGACCCAGCCGGGGUGCUUGAGACACGUGGAGGGUGAGAGCUUCCGAGGACAGACGUGCAGGAACGGAGAGCCCAGGGGCUGAGAAGAAGUGCCUGUGCGCAGGCGGACAGCCAAGAACUCAGGCAGGAUCGGGAAUCAGGCGCACUUGUGUGAGAUACGCAGGCUUGAGACCGGGUUUCCACAGAUGACAGCCUCGCUGGAGGAUGAGGUUCAACCCAGAGAAGGGAGGACGGAUGAUCUGAGCCACAGCAAGGGGCAAGUAGAACACCUGUGCCAGCUCCCAGCGGUGGUAAGGGGGCUGCAGAAAAACAAACACGAGCCCUCGCGCUUGGAGAGGUUUCUCAGCGGAGGACACUUACGAGCCGUAAUGCAACCACGAUCCUCAGUGAAACUGUUAACUCUUAUAAACUGGGACCAGGGUCCUAGAGAGUCUCUUUUCCUCGUAGCAGGUAGCACCGUGCUUUGCGCUGGGUAGGAAGUCUUUGUUGAACGGGUUUUUAGUUUUCCUGUGCUAUCACUUUGCCCUGCUGCUCAGGCAAUAACUGGUUACAUUGGAAUCAAGAAUAAAAUGUGAAACUCUAGGAUAGGUAGAGCUUUCAUUUCACUCUGUUAGAAAUACUUAGUAAGCACUGGAGAUACAAAAGGAAGUAGCAAACAUGCAUCUGAGGAAUUGACAGUGAACAAUAUGGCUGGAACCAUUAAAAUGGUGAAGCGAGAAGAAACCCCUUGCACAGAAGGACAUCUGAAAAGUUUUGUAGGUGGUAGGUGAGUAGGGUGGAGAUAAAGAUUGAUGGAGAAUAAACUCCUCCAUGACAUGCAAGCUAAUUUAGAACUGAAUUACAAUUUUACGAAUCCCAAAGAUAUUCUUACAAGGGGUCAGAUCAAGCAGUGAUUCUGAUGAAUUUGCAAAGGCAAAUGCAACCAAGAACAAUCCUCUUCAUUUUUGUCUACUGUCCUCCUCCUUACAUACAUGUUCUUACUAAGUGAAUUGAGCAAGUCUAUGUUAUUGUGAAAUAUCAGUGAGAAAUAUUUAAAUACAUGUAAUUACAUUUUUCUUUUCUGAAUCUUCUUGGAAAAUUGGGUGGAGUUUCUAUCCAUUCCAAUGCUUUAGAGGGUAGCUUCAGGGGCAGCUGUUAUUGGAUGAUGGAAUGAAGAGGAUGCAAAUACAGAGGCACAAUAAAAAGCCAUUUGUGUAUAAACUUAGGAAAGAAUGAGAAAGUAAAGAAUAUGAUUUUUUAGCUUGUCUUUCUGCUUCUUUGUUUUCUCUAAGUUUUCUUUUUAAUAGGAUGAUCAAUAAUUCCAGAAAUACAAUAUAAUUUUUUGUCUUUGUGGAUUUAAUUGUAACAACUUCAUGCUCUCUAAAGGUUUUCUUUUUCAUAAGGACAUGUGGUGGAUUAAAUAAUGGUCUAAAGAUUUCCAUGUCCUAAUCCCCAGAGCCUGUGAAUGUUACCUUAUAUGGCAAAAGGUCUUUGCAGAUGUGAUCUAGGGUAAUCUAAAUUAGAUUAUCAUGAAUUAUCUGGGUGGCUGAUAUAAUCACAGUGGUCUUUAUGAGAGGGAACAGGAGAGUCAGUCAAGGAAGGUGAUGUGGGAACAGGAGCGGAGAUUGGAGGGUGGCAACCUCUGGGCCUGGAAGAGGCAAAGAACAGAGUCUUCCUAGGGUCUCCAGAAGGUGCCAGCCCAGCCAUCACCUUGACUUUAGGUCCAGAAGUAUUUAUUUCUGACUUCUGACCCCAAUAACUUUAAUGUGCUGUUAUAGGCAGCUAAAUUUGUGGCAAUUUGUUAAGGAAAGUAAUACACCCCGUAUUACUUUUAAAUCAGAAAAAGUCAUUAAAAUAAAUAAAAGGGUGAAAAGUUUUCUAUUCUUUUAAAGUACAUAAAUUAGGAGUUUGAGAUUAAUAUAUAAAUACACACUAUUAUAUAUAAAAUAGGUAACUAACAAGGAAUUAGUGUAGAGCACAGGAACUAUACACAAUAUCUUGUAAUAACCUAUGAUGGAAAAGAAUAUGAAAAAGACUAUGUGUGUGUGUAUAUAUAUGUAUAUUAUUUAUAUACAUAUAUAUAUAAAUCACUGCACUGUACACCAGAAACUAACACAAAAUUGUAAGUUAACUACACUUCAAUUUUAAAAUCUAUAAAAAGCAAAGUAGUUUAUAUUAAAGUGCAACAUUUAUGGAAAAUCUCUCUACGUGUGUUUGCAUCUGUUGCCACUUUGACCUACAAUUUAAGAUUCACUGAAUAAAAGGAUCAAAGUGUCCACCUUUUUGCUCCCAUACAAAUUGCUAAGCUAUUUAUUUUAAAUAGCUUUCUAAACUAAUUUCAGGAGGAGCAGACUGUGUCAUUUGGAAGGAGUUUUAUCAUUACUCAGUUGCUUUUGUAAUUUAUUUUCUAAACUAGAUUUUGCAUGCAAACAUCA